UCCCUGGUGGCUCAGUGGUAGAGCAUCUGCCUGCAAUGCAGGAGACCUGGAUUCGAUCCCUGGAUAGGGAC
rfam:Ovis aries breed Texel chromosome 16, whole genome shotgun sequence.